GCUGACACAUUCCAGCCAAUCAGCAGCAGACCCUCCCUCCCAGACCCUCCCAACUCCUGGACAGCAUCCAUUUUGAAGCUGAAUUCUUAGUGAGCUGUCCAGGAGGUGGGAGGGUGUGGGAGGGAGGGUCUGCUGCUGAUUGGCUGGAAUGUGUCAG